GGUUGUGGCUCAGUGGUAGAGCACUUGACUAGCAUGGGUGAGGCACGUAGGCCCACCAACGUCUAAAAACAUUUUUUUAAAAAUAAUAAAUAAAAUAAAAGUGGCUGGGGAUGUAGUACAAUGGUAGAGUGACACUGGGUUCAAUUCCCAGUACCA
rnacentral:tRNA from 1 species